AGUGAACGCUGGCGGUAGGCCUAACACAUGCAAGUCGAACGGCAGCACAGUAAGAGCUUGCUCUUACGGGUGGCGAGUGGCGGACGGGUGAGGAAUACAUCGGAAUCUACUUUUUCGUGGGGGAUAACGUAGGGAAACUUACGCUAAUACCGCAUACGACCUACGGGUGAAAGCAGGGGAUCUUCGGACCUUGCGCGAUUGAAUGAGCCGAUGUCGGAUUAGCUAGUUGGCGGGGUAAAGGCCCACCAAGGCGACGAUCCGUAGCUGGUCUGAGAGGAUGAACAGACACACUGGAACUGAGAAACGGUCCAGACUCCUACGGGAAGCAGCAGUGGGGAAUAUUGGACAAUGGGGGCAAGGCUGAUCCAGCCAUACCGCGUGGGUGAAGAAGGCCUUCGGGUUGUAAAGCCCUUUUGUUGGGAAAGAAAAGCAGCAGGUUAAUACCCCGCUGUUCUGACGGUACCCAAAGAAUAAGCACCGGCUAACUUCGUG
rnacentral:rRNA from 1 species